AGUGAACGCUGGCGGUAGGCCUAACACAUGCAAGUCGAACGGCAGCACAGUAAGAGCUUGCUCUUACGGGUGGCGAGUGGCGGACGGGUGAGGAAUACAUCGGAAUCUACUUUUUCGUGUGGGAUAGCGUAGGUAAACUUACGCUAAUACCGCAGACGACCUACGGUUGAAAGCAGUGGAACUUCGCACCUUGCGCGAUUGAAUGAGCGGAUGUCGGAUUAGCUAGUUGGGGGGGUAAAGGCCCAGCAAGGCGGGGAUCCGUAGCUGGUCUGAGAGGCUGGUAGGCCACACUAGAACUUGAACAGGGUCAAGGGUCCUGAGGGAGGCAGCAGUGGGGAAUAUUGGACAAUAGGGGCAAGUCUUGUACAGCCAUACCGAGUGGGUGAAGACGGCCUUCGGGUUGUAAAGCCCUUUUGUUGGGAGUGAACAGCAGCCGGUUAAUACGCAGCUGUUCUGACGGUACCCAAAGAAUAAGCACCGGCUAACUUCGUG
rnacentral:rRNA from 1 species